rnacentral:lncRNA from 1 species
CACUCUAUAUAUAGACACAGUAAAACCCACAUACAUAUUGUGCUUUACUUCAAUCAGACUAGUGCUUUUCUGCAACUUGCGCCUGAGGCAAUUUAGAACUCAAGCACCUAGCACCUUGCGCCAUCAACAACACUGAGCUUCCCACACAAGACCCUAUCUUAAAGGAUAAAAAUAACCCAAUUCCAUUACCUUCUUCCCUGAGAUACCUCAUAUAAUGUUUCUCCGUUAAACCACUUCCACAGCACAUAAACACUAAUCCAACUACCUCUCAUCCACCGUAUGGACCUCCAUUCCUUCUCCACAACCAGACUUUGCAACAACAAGGAUCUAAUACAAGAUAACACUUGAGAGAUUUGAACCAAAAAAAAAAAAUCAAAUCUCAAUUGCAACCGAAGUUAUACUCCUAAAUAGUUCCGUAUUCCUAUAAAUGACAUCCUAAAAAGAAAAACUUGAAAUACAAGGUACCAAAGUCGAAGGGACAGAAGCCAUAAUCAUCAAUAAAACCGACAGACAGUGAUUUUAGUUCUGGAACUGAAGCAGUAAAAAUUAGGCACCAAUCUCAUAAGCAAACAACUUGUCAAUCAAAAUUCUCAAGCGAACAACAAGCUUAGCUCAGAUCUAAUCUUAAAAAACUAGCAAAAAUAAAGAACAAUAGAAGGAUAAAAAAAAUAAGAGAGUCAGAUCUGUAAACCUGCAUAUUACACUUGACGAGGUCAAGAGGAGUAACGGCCAUGUGAGUGAGACCACAGCUAAGGAUACCGCCAAAGGUACAAGCAGCGUAGAACUGAGGCGAAUACAUCUCGAUCUUCUUCCCGGGCUCAUUGGGGGAGGGGAUCAUGAAAGUUCUCGCCUUGAUCGAUGGCGAGGAAGAGGCCGCAGGAGCAUCGGGUAUAGUGGAGCGCGAAGCAGAGAAAGCAGGGCUGUUGGCGUUGAGGAGUCGAUCCAGAGAGAAAGAGUUGGGAGCAGAAGAGUAAAGGAAGCUAGGGAGAAGUGAUUGUUUGAAAGAAUCAGAAUCGAUAGCCAUUGCCGGAGGGGAAAAACGGAGAAAUGGAAGCGAGAGAAGAUGAAAAGCGAAGAAAUUGGGAUUCCCUUCGGAUUUUGUUUCUCUCGCUUGCCAAACUCUGUGUUAAGACAUAGAUUUUUCCGGCUGUAUUAUUGGGCACUACAAAGGAAAUGGGAAAGAAAACCCUCGCGUGCUUUAUACGCACCAUGCCUAAUUGACCUUGUCAUUUUAUGUUAAUUACGAAAAUGGUCAUUCCUUUUUCUUAUAAGGUUAAUAUACUGUUUCAUACUUGAAUUUAACUUCGAUAUUCAAUUUGGUAAAUAAGGUUUUUUUCCAUUUUAGUAUUUAAUAAGUUUUAGAAAUUACAUUUUAGUACCAGGUUAAUGUAUGUAUGGAUGUUAGAAUAGAAGUUCGCAACAUUAGAUGUCCCUUUAAUUGUCUCUAGUAGUCCCGACUAAUGGUCCAAAGAGUAAGUAAAGGCAAGUCAAACCUACCAUAUGUCAUUGAAUAUCUAUUGUUAACGGUGGAAAAGAUUGACAAAGUGGGUUUAGAAAUACCAAACUACAUAUAAUAUUUGUAAGCUCAAGGCUAACCCCCCUUAAUAUAUGUAAAAAUAGGUGAUUGUAUAAAUCAUUGGCUUGCUAAAAAAAGAAACUGAUGGUUUGUUUAACAUUGUUUGAGAAAAUUUUUAAAUCUUAUGUCUAUAAUGUUUUUUUUAAAGAAUAAAGAUGAAGUUAUUCAAAUAUCGAAUUUGAAAUUAAUGUAAGUAAAAAAAGUUUGAUUCUACUCAGACACGUCACUUCCUUGCUCAUGUUUAAGUCACAAUCAAAAUCAAAUUAUCAAUGCUAACACUACAGCUCAAGCCAGAAUUUUAUAUUAUCCUAUAUAUAAAACACACAUGUAUGUAACUUACGGCUGUUAAUUACCAGAUUUGCAUCUUUGUCUUGUAUAAAACAGUGGCAUUAUCUUCUACGAAAGCGAUAGCUGCCGCAUUUUGUUGAUUUUCUAUCAACGAAAUCUUGUGUUAGAAUUGAUUGUAUUUGAACAUAAUAAAGCAUUUAUUUCCUGAUUCUAUUGUGAUGGGGACUACGGGUGGGUGGCGUUUUCCAUUGACGUUGGGGGUCGUUUUCUCUUUUAGUUCACUAGUUGCCUGGGAGGAAUAAGCAAGCAUGAAAAAUGAUUGAUCCUGUCAUAGUUUCAACAUGUUUGAAGAAACAAGUGUCAUAUAAGGAUGUUAAAGGAACUGGAAAAGUUGCAAUUCAAAGAAGAAGUGCCAAGACUGAAGGCCAUGCUGCGGUUCAAACUGAAACUAGAGAGGUAAAAGUGUUGGAUGGUUUAGGGAAUUUCAAAUCAAUGAAGGGUCGAGUGCCAACAAGAGAAAGAGAGAGGAGGAAUAGAUGAGAAGGGAGUGCUUCUGGUUUCACCUUCAAAGAAGAAGACUUCAGACAAUGAUGAUGGAGAUUCCCCCGAAAGGGAACACAUUGAUACCCAAUAUGCUUUAACUACUGGCGCAUGAGUUCAAUAACACUGUCAAUGUAACCCACCGGAAUACUGGGAAACUUUACAGGCCGCCAAGAAGCUGCUGAUGUGAGGGAGAACGAAAAUCUUGAAGCUGUGGGUGAGCACGAUGGUCUGUCACCAGUGAUGAAUGCGAAUAGAAAUUUUGCUAUUUCUAUUUUCGUCUGAUAACUUUGCUGUUGAAUGUUGAUGAUGACGUUCUUGUUUUUGAGCAAGGGUUGUGAGUUGGGUGGUAUUAAGGGUUGUGAGAUAGGGUUGAGGCACAGUUCUUUACCAGCCCUCUCACUUGGCAUUGGAACAUUAGAGGUUUGUAUCAAACACUACUUAUUGACCGCUCUGGUUAUGACUCAAACACAAAGUCAAUUUAAAUUUCUUGAUGGCGACUAAACUUUUGCUAAAUUUGAGCAAGAAAAUGGCGACAAUGCGAGAUAUAUAUAACGUUGUAGGAGCUGAUUGGGUUGGGAUGGUGGGAUUGCGGUCAUGUGAAACAACCCUCUAAGGUGCACCGUCUUUUGUAUGAAUAACUACUUGUAACUUCCAUGAAAUUUAUCUAAAAAUGUAAUAAAUAUUUUUUUGCACAGAGAGAGAGUGAGAUGCCUUAAAGAAAGCCGAACAAAAGUUCUCAAUAUUACAUUAAAAAGCUUGCUUAACAAGGUAAAGUAAGCAGUAUCGUCCCCAUCUGCAUCUGCUCCUUAUUUUUAACUGCUACAGAAGGGGGGGAUUGAUCUUCAAAUGAAAUUUCAUUUAUGAUCUAACUAUUACAAAAAUAAUUAGUCUCCGUAGUUUGGAGGGUGAGAUCAAAACCAUCCUCUCCUAGAACCAACAGUUUUUUUCAAAACAGAGCGACUUGAUAAAAAUGUUCUCAACGCAAAAAAGAAUAUCCUUCCACCAGCUUGACAAACCAUUCCAGCAAUCCUAUGUUUACUUGUCCCCCAUGACAACAGGAUUUCCAACAUUCUAUGCCUUGGCAAGCUCCACAGCCGCAGGAGCAGGAGCAACACCACCAGUAGUUGGCCUGAAGGAUUGCAGAAAAAAACAUUAGCAUAAACCACAAAAGCAUGUAUAUUAACCGAGUCUAGUGCUGGGAAGAACUUACAGCCCCACAAACACUUUGAAAGCAUCAUAGAUACCCCACUGAGCUCCAGUUAGAGUUCCAAUCAUCACAAUACGGAGGGGAAGACCACGGGUAAACAGACCCCAUAAUCCAAGCUUCUUCACAGCCUACAUUGCCAAGAGAUAGUAGAAGGGUCAAGGUAAAGUAAAAAAAACUGCUUCAUAAAUGAGAAUUAAAAAUCAAACGGAUCAUCCAAGACACAGAACUUACAUCCCCAACAGUUGCUCCUUUGGCAUUGUUAAGGAAGGAGACAAGGUUGUCAGCAGGAUGCGAAACAAUAGCACAGAAGACACCAGCGACAUAACCACCAGCAAAACUAACACCAAGCUGCAGACUUUUGCUGCACUGCUCCUUGGGAGUGGGAAUACCAUACUUGUAGAUCAUCUCAACAAUAGUUUCAAAAGAAGCAAAUUUCAUCAUGGUAUCUGAAACAAAGAAAGAUCAAAUAAACACUCUUACACUUUGCUACACUUAGCAAAUGCUAAAACUAUGAACAGAAAAAGUGGGUUAGAGAGAAGGGGGGAAAGGGAAAAAAAAGGCAUGACCAAAUAAAAGUACAAGUUCCCAAGCAAUGAUAAUUGAUAAUAAAGGCAGUACUCAGCAAACUGUACAUGGAAAACUUACAUGGAAUCUGUCGGCCCCAAAGAGGAACAAUACCCUUGUACAAUCUGCAAAGGGAAAUAGUUAGAAAGCUCAUUCUGACAGACGUUUCCUUGUAUUAUUUAAACAGAAAAUUUAACAUCGAGCAUAGGAGCAUACCCAACAGCACCUUCUGAUCUGACAAACUUGGGAAGACCAUCAGACAGACCCCUAGCAAACCCAGGCUGGGUUUGAACCCUGACCUUGACUGCCUCAAAGGGACAAAGUGCAACAUCAGCAAUUACCUCAGCAGAUGCAGAGCCGGCAAGAUAGAUGAGAGUCUUGUACUUGGCAAAAUAUUCAGGUCCAGCAAGGUCAGAAUAGUACUUCUUGAAGAACUCAUAGAAUCCAAACUUGCAAGCACCCUGUGCGCUGUAACCAAGAAGGGUAGGAACCCAACCACGGAAGAAGCCUCUCACUCCUUGCUCCUUUAGUAGAACUCCAAAACCAGAUGAAAUACUUUUGUACUUUGCAGGGUCAAUCUGGCAAAACAUUCCUUAUGUCAGUCAACUUAAUCAUUCACCUUACUAAUUAUAGGUUAAAUAAAAACAAAUCAACAAAGUAACAUUAACUGUUCUGUAAAAUUUAAGUCUAUGUAUGACAAAAAUGUCAUCAGUUGCUCUAAAUAUCAACCAUUACAGUAUAAUAAAUAGCUAGAUUAACUGCAUAAAAACAAAAACAAGUAUUCCAGAAAAUUAUGUUUGGGCCUAGGACUAAAAAAGGCAAGGACAAACCAGAUAUCUCAACAGGAAUAAAUGAGGUACAAUCCCACGCGAAGGAUAAUGAGGACCUGAUUCCUUUCUGCGUAAAGGUCUAAUGUAUGAUUAUAGUGGCUGAUUCUAUUGAAGACAAGACAUUACAUGCAAGGACACUUAAGACACUAGUCAAUCACAUAGGGAUCCAAGUGGGACCGAUUAGCAGGACAAUGCAUACUCCCUUCACAUCCAACAGCACAUGUUGAAGCCCUAAAUGACACAAGCAGCUUCCCCAGUUUUGUAAAAGCGUGUUCUUUUUGGCAAGGAAUUAAAAGCCUCAUUAAACUUCUCUUUAAUUUCUUUUAUUUUUUUUCACUUUUUUUCAUUAGACAUACCUUCACUAGUAAGAAAUGGAUAGUAUUAAACUUCGUACUUCUCAAUAUUUGAGUAUUCAACUUUAGAGUUUAUUAUAUCUUAUGCUAGAUAUAUAGACACAGAAAAAAACCACAUACAUAUUGUGCUUUACUUCAAUCAGACUAGUGCAUUUUCCACCUUGCGCCUGAGGCAAUGUAAGAGCUCAAGCACCUAAAGUGCACCUUGCCCCUUUGACAACAUAGAGCUUCCCACACAAGAUCAUAUCUUAAAGGAUAAAAAUAACCCCAUUCCAUCAGCUUCUUCCCCAAGAUACUUCAUAUUGUGUUACUCCGUUAAACCACUUCCACAGCACAUAAACACUAAUCCUACUACCUCUCAUCCACCGUAUAGACCUCCAUUCCUUCUCCGCAACCAGACUUUGUUUCAACAAGGAUCUAAUACGAGAUAACAGUUGAGAGAUUUGAACAAAAAAAAAAUCAAAUCUCAAUUGCAACCGAAGUUAUACUCCUAAAUAGUUCCGUAUUCCAAUAAAUGACAUCCUAAAAAGUAAAACUUGAAAUACAAGGUACCGACGUCGAAGGGACAGAAGCCUUGAUCAUCAAUAAAACCGACAGACAGUGAUUUUAGUACUGGAACUGAAGCAGUAAAAAUUAGGCACCAAUCUCAUAAGCAAACAACUUGUCAAUCAAAAUUCUCAAGCGAACACCAAGCUUAGCUCAGAUCUAAUCUUAAAAAACUAGCAAAAAUAAAGAACAAUAGAAGGAUAAAAAAAAAUAAGAGAGUCAGAUCUGUAAACCUGCAUAUUACACUUGACGAGGUCAAGAGGAGUAACGGCCAUGUGAGUGAGACCACAGCUAAGGAUACCGCCAAAGGUACAAGCAGCGUAGAACUGAGGCGAAUACAUCUCGAUCUUCUUCCCGGGCUCAUUGGGGGAGGGGAUCAUGAAAGUUCUCGCCUUGAUCGAUGGCGAGGAAGAGGCCGCAGGAGCAUCGGGUAUAGUGGAGCGCGAAGCAGAGAAAGCAGGGCUGUUGGCGUUGAGGAGUCGAUCCAGAGAGAAUGAGUUGGGGGAAGAAGAGUAAAGGAAGCUAGGGAGAAGGGAUUGUUUAAAAGAAUCAGAAUUGGUAGCCAUUGCCGGAGGUUAAAAAAAAGGAGAAAUGGAAGCGGGAGAAAUGGAGAGGGAAGAAAUUGGGAUUCCCUUCGGAUUUUGUUUCUCUCGCUUGCCAAACGCUGUGUUAGGACUCAGAUGUGUCCGGCUUUAUUAUUUGGCACUGCGAAUGAAAUGGGAAAGAAAACCCUCGCGUGCUUUAUACGCACCAUACCUAAUUGCCCAAGUCAUUUCACGUUAAUUACGAAAACGGUCAAUCUUUUUUCAUAGGGGUGAUAUACUAUGUGGUACCUAAAUUUAGCUUUAAUAUUUAAUUUAGUGUAUGAGUUUUUUAGUCAAACUGGGUAUUUGAGUUUGGUUUCAAAACUCGGUUGGGUAAAAAAAUAUUCAAUUUAGUAUCUGAUUUUUUUCCAAAUUGAUACUUAAUUUUUUAUCCCAUUUAGGGAGAGAGUUAAAAAAUUUUGUGAGGUUAGAAUUAAAUUGUAUAUUUUUAUAAUAGUAAAAAUAUAAUUUCAUCAUUUUAAUAGUUUAUAUCUUUAUAACUUGUAAAUGAUUAAAUCAUAUUUUUAUCAUUUUGUGGGCCAAAGUAUAAUUUUAUCAUUACUAAUUUAAAAUUUUAUAAAUUUUAAAGGGGUCUAAAUGAAAAACAAUUCAUUUUAGGGGUGGCUUCUCCACUGAUCGCAUUUAAGUUUUUGAAUUUAGCUUCAAUAUUCAAUUUAAUAAUUGAGUUUUUUUCUAUUUCAAUUAAGUACCUAUAUUCUUUUUACUAGAGCACAUGUACAAAAUAUUCAUUGAGCCAAGCUGUGAUGUUUGGUUUGAGUACCAAAUUAAACAUUAAAACCAAAUUCUGAUACCAAAUUGAGACCCUACAUACUAAAUUAAACCUUGAAACAAAACUCAAGUAGCAAAUGAUAUAUUAACUCUGUAUUGUUUACAUCAUUGAUUUUGACUAAAUUUGUACAAGCAUAUUCUAUAUGUAAAUUACUCAAAAGCCGCGUUAAAAUCAAUUAACGAAGCAAACGUAAUCUAUCAUUUAAGGCAAAUUUGAACAGUUCAAGAAAAAAUAAUGAGUCAAAUUUGAGAAAUAAUAAUAAUAAUAAUAGAGGGGCUAAAUUUACAGAAAAUAAACAUUCCAAGGAUGUCCUGUGAAAUUUAACCUUGUUUUCUUUAUAUCUUUUUGAUUCCUAACCCCGAGGCUGAUUCCGGCUGGAGUUAGCUGGAACUCGCUCUUCAUUGGUCAACUCUGACGGCACCUCCAACCACACCACAAAACAGGAAAAUAAAAAUUAGAUACGUAAUGGAAGAUAAUAAAAAAAUCUUCAACCCUUUUAAGGUGAUUAUUGUCCUAGAUAUGAACUAAGUUUAAGUUGUUAAUUGUAUAUUUUACAAAAAAUAUAUAUUAUAUUUUUCUUUAAAUAUUUUUUAUGUAUUUCUAUAAAAAAAUAUUAUAUUUUUAUAUUAAAUAUGAUAUAUUAAUAAUUUUCUUUUUAAUGCAUUUAACCCUUAAAUUUUCACAUAAUAUGUAAUGUGAUAUUUGUAUAAAAAAAAUUGUACAAUUUAAGACUUGUAUUUUCUUCCAUGUAUAUCAACCUACUCCAAAGCAUGAACACAGAUAAAUUUAUCUGUUUGACUUGCUUUUUAAAAAUAAUAAAUGAAUUUCAUGUGUAUAUUUUAAAAAUCAUUUUUGCUUUUUAGAAUGAUGAUUUGAAUUUAAAUUAUUUUUUUAAUAGAUAAACGUUGGAUUAAUACGUUAUAAUUUCAUUCUUAUCUAAUUUCUAUUGUUGAUUAUAAAUGGGUGUUAUUUUUAUAUCCAAGUUCGUAUCUGAGUCAAUUUCGAUCAGUCAAAAAAAUUUAUUUUAUUAUUUAAAAAUUAAUAAAAUAUUUUUAAAAAAUUAAUUGAUAUUUUAUAUAUUUUAUAAGUAUAUUUAAAAAUAUUUUUUACUUAAAUUGAAUUCCGGCCAACCUAGUUCUAUUUGAAACACAAAAAUCUUAGUUCAAGCCAAACCCAAAUGUUGGGCGGGCUACCCAACCAUUGGACAGGUUUUCCGUUCGCCAAAUUGGUUUUUUUUUCUUGUUUUUAACAUCCAAUUGGUUUUAUAUAUUGAUUCUAACAAGUUUGAUAUACCCUUAACCUUCUUUAUAAUAGUCACUUGGUUUAUUAUAGAACCGAUUUUUUAUGUUUUAUUUUUAUUUUGUAUGAUAAUUUUUUUAUCUAUAAUAAUAAUCAUAAAUUAUGAAGUACACUCCUUUUUAAAUAAGUUUUUUUAUAACAAAUUAUAAUCUUCAUUUUAAUAAACUUAGAUUUAUUCUUAAAUGAAAUAAAAAUAAUAAAUUUUAGUUAAAAUUUUAUAUAAAACAUUUUAAUAAUAUUUUAUUAAAUAAAAAUAAUUUUAAAUAAAUAAAAUUACAUUCAUAAUUUUUUAUUAAAUAUACAAUUAAAUCUCAAUAAUUGAUAAAUUAUUCAUAUACUAUAAUUUUUUUAAGUUGAAAAUAAACUAAAAAAAAAAAGAUCAAUUACUAGGAAUCGCAUUCUCGCCCUGUUCUUGGGAGGGUUAAGCUGUCAGCACAUGCUUGGUUUCUUCUUAUUACGAAAUGCAAAUUUCAUCGUGCGGAACUUGUAUUUUGAUACACAUUCUGACAUGGGUGUCCUAAUACAGAUGAAGUAGUGAAGGAAAUUUUUAGAGGUGGAAAUUAUAUUAUAAUUUUUAUAAUAAUAAUAAUAUAAUUUAUGAUUUAAUAGUUUAUAUUUUUAUACUUUUUAAAAGAUUAAAAUUAAAUUUUUAUUAUUUUUAAAGGGGUCAAAAUAUAAUUUUAACUUUAUAAAUUUAAAAUUUUAAAAGACUUAUAUGAAAAAAUUUCAUUUUAGUGUCUAGCCAUAGGUAUGCCCUGCUAAUACAUGAAAAAACUUUAAGAAGAAUUGAAAAUAUUGUUUGGGAAGCUAAAGCAGAAAUACAAAUAGAGUGGCUCGUAAGGGUGGUCUAUCUAGGGAGGCUGAUAGGACUCUCUAAAAUGAAAAAUUAUCAAUUUAAAUUUUUUUAAAAUUUUUAAAAUUUUAAAUUAAUAAAAGUAAAUUUACAUUUUAAUCUUUUUAAAAAUAAUAAAAUUUUGAUUUAAUUCUUUAAAAUCUAUAAAGAUAUAAUUUAUUAAAAAUUAAAAUUUAAUUUCGGCCCUAACAAAAUUUGUAUCAUAACCUUGUUGGGGUAGUCCUGUUGAGUGCAAAAUAUGCUAAUUUUUAUGUUAUUCCCAGCAGUAUUUUGCAUGUUUUGUUUUAGGAUAAUUGGUCGGAUAUCAUUGUUUGGGGUAAAUCUGUUAGCUUGGAACAGUAAUCCUAGUUGUGGAGGUGAUUUUUUUGUUGUUUUUGUGCUGACUUCCCUUAUCUAUGUUUAUGUUUUCCUACUGAAUAUAUCCAUAAGGAACAUGAACCCCUAUGGGAUAUGGCUAUCACACUCAAAUUGGCUACUCUUCUGUCAGUUAAAUAACCAAUAUACAGUGAUAUAAAACCUUGUUAGUGGGGCUUUGAGCACUGUUUUUGAGACUUAAAAGUCAAAUAUUGUAAUGCAAUCUUUUUGUUAUCCAACAAUUCAUAUGCGUCCAGGAAGUCAGAUCGCUUUGAACAUCUUCCAAAAAUGUAGAUACCAACCUCUCCCUAUGAACCUGCAAGGUCAAAUCCUCUCCCUUGGCUUGUAUUUCCAAAAUCCACUUCUCUAACCAUUCCUUCACUUUCUCCCUAUAAUCAUAACUCUUCAUUUUUCAUGACGCACUGAUAGAUAAAGGAUAUGAUCUAAGUUGGAAAAAUCUCGAGUAUUCCGACACUCACCUUCAGUCCAAGCAACAUAGGAUAUGAAAGCAAUUGACUCAACAAAAACUUGUCUAUUUGUAACAUUUCCAUCAUUUUCAUAUUCGUGGACUAAUAACUCUUUGAAGGCCAUCGCUAUCUGGCUUGUUGCAACAAAAAAAAUCUUAUUAUUGCAUUGAAUCAACAAUCAGAAGUAGAAAAAAUCCUAUUUUCAUUCAUAUGAUAUAGAGUCAAAAUAUUAUUUCUAUUCUUUUUUUUUCUUUUUUUUUCCAUUUAUUUUAUAUUUUACUAGAAUAACUAGAAUAAAUAAUAAUAAUAACACUAUGGAUUUUUGCACAAUCCAUUUUUAUGUUAUUUAUGUUAUGACUAAAUCCUUUUGUCGAAUCCUAUCUAUCAAAACUCCUAUAACAAAAGAUGACAAGAACUUAAAUUUUAAGAUUUUUUAAGCACCUAUCUUGUAAUUCUAUCUUGAUUACGCCCAAUUACAAGGGUCCUUUUAUAUACAAAUAAUUUAAUAUAUACAAUAAAUUCAAUAAUCACAUUGUAAGGGGUAUAAUUUAGUGGUAAAAAUGUGAUUCAUAUAAUUUAUUCCUCAACAAUAUAUAAUUUCAUAUUUAAAAUACUAGUACUAAUCAACUUUGCUUUAUGGUAUGAAAAUUUGCAAGAGACUAAAAGUGGGGAUUGUUACAAGAAUCUAGAAAUCAGUUUAUCCUGAAAAUUGCAUACACUAAUACAGUAGUAAAAAAACAGCAGCCAAGCAUCUCAGAUGAGAUUACUAGUUAUUUUAAACUACAUACAUAUAUGUUUAAACAGUGUAAACGAAUCUCAUUACAAAUAAGAAAAAGAGUUGCAGAAGAGCAAGAAUGGCAACAUCAGGCUUAGCUGAAGUACAAGAACUCUUCCCCACAAACUCGCCUGAAGAUGGUAUGGGUCCAAAGGCUCCUGAAUCUGGCCACUGUGGGGGAGCUUGAGAAGGGAAAAAUGAGGACAUAUUGGGUGCAUUCACAUAUGGGGAACCAGCUGGAGAGGCUGAAAUAGCAUGCUUACUGGUCACAAUUUGCAAACUAGAAAAGAUGAUGACCAAUGGUACAACAACAGCAAACAAUUUAGAGGUAGCCAUAGAUGUCAGCUGCAAAAGUAGUGAAGUAAUCUCUUAUCUGUAUCCGAAUAUGGGGAAAGAUAGGAGGAUAAAGAGCUGAUGGUUGGGUGUGGUUGCUGCAGCAGCAUCUCACGAGACACACUGUGGAAAUGUUAAAUUUCUACCUAAAAUUUAAGGCAUAAUUAUUAAAGCCUUUGUGGUUAUUUGUUUCCUUGAUCUGUUCGGUGGGUUGGGGUUAAAGAAGAGUGGUAAGAUUCUCUGCCCUUUCUCUUUUAUUAUAUAUGUGUGUGUUUGUCGGCGAAUGCCUGCUUGUCUGCCACAUGAUUAAGCUCUUGGAUUUUGUACAAAGAGGCCUCAACCUGUUUUAUUAUUAUUUUUGUUUUGUUUUUACUUUUUGCAGUAUCCAUGUGGUUACCACUUAAAAGCUCAGCAUUUCAUUUGUAAAUUACAAUAGGCCCCUUAGCAUUCAGUUAGUAAGACUGUAUUUUAGUCAUGGGAGUUUUCUGUAAUGAUGGUAAUUACAGAUUUGGAUAUUACUUCAUUCAACAGUGGAAUCCUGUCUGCUCAUUUGGGCCUUGUCAGUAAGAUGUGCUCAACUCUCAACUGGACGUUCGGGUUCAUGGCCGAAAUAAUAAUAAAAAAUUUACAUAGGAUAUGAAGGACUUAAAUUGAGGUCAAAUCUUUUUGAAUGUGUUUGACUUUUUUUAUCAUGUUUUUAUUUUAUUUUCUUUUUUUCAAGUAAUAUCUGUCUUAGUUAUCUCAUUUCUUGAGGUAUUGCCCUUUACUUGCAAGGGUUCCCCAUUUCUAGACUUGUGAAUGGCAAUUAACAACUUACUAAAAAAAAGACUUAUUAAUUCAGUUCCUGCAAUUCAAUAAAGAAUGACAAAUCUUUCAAAAAAAAAAUGAAUUGGAGACAGACAAAAGGCAAAGGCAGUUCUCUUUUGGCUUUUGUCAUUGGCAUUCACUCGUCUUUUGAUCUAAUGCCCCGUUUCUACCUCGUUUUUCUUGCACUAGGCUUUGUCUGUCACAUUGAAAAAAAAGUUCUUUUUCUCUACUUUUUAAGAUACUAAUAAACAAGUUCCACUGUCCAAAAUUAUCCAAAUUUUUUAGAUGAAAAGGUUAAACUUCUCUUUUUCAGGUAAAACAAAAGCCGAAAUGAAGUGAAUGCACAUGAUUCUUUGAAUUCAGGCAAACAACAAACAUGUUACUACUCUUAACCUUGGAAAAAGAAAGAGUAAGAAUCGGGGUCAUACAUAUUUUAUUCAGUGAAACAAUUUCAACAAGCAACUUCUUCAAUGUCAUGGCUACCUUGGACUUCCAAGAACAGGAGAGCUAUGCCUAUGUGUGUGUUGUUGGGGGGGGGGGUCGUAUCCUCAACAUAUUAUUGUCUUUGAUUAGGUUUUGUUUCCCAACUCUGUUGAGUGGGAUUGAUUAGGUUUGUUUCCCUACUCUGUUGAGUGGGAAUAUUUUGUGCAUGGUUGGACUCAUCCUCUAUUAUCUAUAUUAUAUAAGUCAUUUAUGAGAGAAGAUGAUACAACUUAAGCUAGAGUAGUAUCGUCCUCCCCAUCAAAUGCCAUAAAUUAUAAGGUCAAAUCCAACUAUGCACAAACUCUUCUGUUUUCAGGAUUAUUCAAGUACUUCGAGACAUUCUCAAUUUGUAAAUCUAUUAAAAUUUUGUAAAAUUAAGAUAUAAAACCCAAUGAAAAUCAAUACCAAAUAUGUUGGGAGACACCUCAAUGUUUUAACUAGAUAUUGCUGAACAAAUUUAAUUAUUGGGCAGGCUAAUUGCACCCUAGGAGACCGUGGUAAGGAGGUGGCAAAAAAUAAUAAAACCAAAUAUUAAGUCCUAUAGUUAUAAGUCAUGCAGCACAAGAAAAUCUGUGAGAAUAGUCAACCUGAAAGGCUGCCACUAGGAGUAAAUAACAAUGAAUGCUUAAGGAAAACUACAACAUUAAGAUACUCUACCAACAAACGCAGCAAAUAAAGACAAAGACUUGAUUGCGAACUGCAGAAAUGGUGGAGCACAAAUUUAACCUCAACCUCUCCAACUUCCAAAAAUGCAAGGACCACUGUAGUUUCACAUUGCUGAUUUCUUUCAAGUGCCAUGUUAGAAAAUGCCAUUCUUGCUCUAUUUCCUUUAACUUUCUGUUUUAAGUUCUUGGUCGUAAAUUAUUUAUUUGAUGAAAUGUUACUUUUUAAGUAUUUUAGGGAACAAAACUAAACAAAUUUAUCAACUUUGCUUUGUGCUAGAGUCCAUGAGUUCUCACAAGCCAAGGAAAAAAAAGAAGGCUCUCUUUGUAUUAGAGUAUUCACAAUGAGUCUUCAUUGCCAGGAAACCAAAAAUAGGAAGAACAUUAAAACUGUCAUAGGUUUCACAUGAAAUUACUGAACAAAAAUCAACAAUGGGAGAUGGCAAUCCAAAAAGGAGAACUCAACCUGAACCUUAUUAAAUUACAAGAGGCAGCAGCAACAAAAGAGAUGUCAUUUUGCUACUUAUUGAACACUAGUUUAUAAAGAAAAUAACCCCAACAUGCAAGAGUGAAAGGAUUCUAUCAGCAGAAGGGAAGAAUCAGACAUGAAUGCUCCACUUCUCCCAGUCCUAAAUGUUUUUACUGAUUCACUUCAAACAUGCAUGCGAGUAGAAAGCUCAAAACAAUGGUAGAAUUGAGAGAGUAUCGUCAUUUAAAGUUGAUGAACAAAGCUCUUAGGCAAAAGUAAACUUCUGAAGCUUCGUAAAAGAAGUGGUUCUAUGGUUAUUUAAAGCUUUAGUCGAGGAUUCUUAAGCCGUUUGAUGCAAUAACUACUCAUCAACUUGGAAAUAGGAGAUUAUUAGGGGGCGUUUUCAAUGCUUUUGGAAUAGCAAAAGCACUUUUUCCCCACACAAGCAUUGAAGAACACUUGGCUUUUAGAGAUUUUACGUUGCCUCAAGGUCAGAAACUGCAGUUGAAGAAGGCAAAAGCAGGACAUUUGCUAGCACUGACACUUUUAUGUUGAAUCCAUUUGUUUCAUUAAGUACUAUGAAUGGUCUGAGCUAGAAAAGGUAAAUUAUGACGGUUUGGAAAACGAAGACUGCCUGAAACUGCACCAUUUUAAAAGGGUCAGUCAUGAGUCAUCCUUUGCAUAAAACGCUUUCUAGAAUAAUUCAUAUGAUGGCUUAAAGAAAUCUGAGUUUGCCAAAGAAUUUUGCAGAAAUCUUGAGACAACACUCACAUAUAUAAUCUUUGCUCAACAUCAACCAGAAAAUAGUUAAUAACACAUACUAAGUGCUGUUCUCUUAUAUGUCAAGCAGAGAGUAGAUACAAAUUCCAAAUAAACAUUAAUUGGGUGAUGAAAACUUCAGGAAUAAUAAAUAGAGAAAAAGUUACAUAUGGGGUUCAACAAAGAAGGAAAUAUGCUGAAACAGUUUUCCCGAAAAGGUAAGAUCAGCAGAAAAGAACAACUGCGAAGUGAUGACAUAAGAACUAGGUUCAUAUUUGUUAGCAGACUUUCUAUUGUAGGAAAAAUGAAAGCUUUUGGCAUCCAGAUAUAAUCAAUAAUUUGCACUUUAUUUCUUUUAGAGAAAUAAGAGUUCUUACUUCAUAUAAGAAGAAACUGGACAUGUAUGACUACAAAUUGCUAUUUUUAAUUUCACAAACAAACUGAUUACCACUCCAUCCAGACCUAGAGAAGAAGACAAUUAAAUUUGCCUUGUACUAAUCAACACACCUCUGAAUCAAACCAGAAGAUAAGCCCAAAACCAAGCUACUAGGCUGUGCAAAGCUCCACCUGCACAUUCCACAGCAAAAGCAACAAGGCAUGAAACAGUUAAAACUUCUUUGAGGGCUGUGGAGGAUGUUAGUUCAACAAAAGGCAAGAAUCAAGAAAAAAGCACCUCUGUAAUGGAAAUCCGGGUGAUGCAGCGCAGAAAGAAGGGGGCAAAAAUAUCCAUCCAGUCACCAUAGGUUUCUGAGAGGCAAAUUAUCCAUUUUUUCUCACUAUUUUUUUUUCUCUCCAAUUAUACAAUAUUGAAAAGCAUUACAAGAAAAGGAGGUCAUCCUCUCUCAGCCAUGCUACUUUUUAAUCUUGCUCCCAAAGUUGAUAACUUUACUCGCCUGAUCCUUCGGAAUCAUCUUUAGCAGGGGGCUGCUGCUGGUGGUGGUGGUGGUGGUGAUUCUGAUGUUGCUGUUGUUGAUGCACUCUCGCCUGCCCCAUCUGCUGAUAAAUCUGGGUCAAGGCUUGAGGAUUUAGAACCCCAAAAUGACCUUCUUGAGACAACCCAAGUUCCAAACCAGGGAGCUGUUGGUUAGCCGCACCCAGCAUUGAGGUGAAACUCAUCUGACCCAUGGUAGUAGCUGUCAAGUCAAAACCAGGAAACCCAAUCUUUUGAAGAUAAUUAGAACCUUCACUGCCUAAAUUUGUUGUAGAUGGAGCAGAUGAUGACUGAAACCCAUAACCACUGACUGGGAGCCAUGACCCUGUUGCCACAUGAUGGGGUCUCCCCAAAUUGCCACCAACCAUUCCCCAAUUGGUCCCACUGCUCCCUGACCCUACACUGGACCCCCCUAAAUCUUCCAUCUUUUGGUGCAACCCCACUGAUAGAGAGCCCCCUUGCUGUGAAACUGAGGCUCCAGCAGCCGCCAAAGCAGAUGCCGGUAUCGUUCCGCUCCCCGUGGCGGCUAUUAUCGAUGGUUCAGCUUGUUGUAACAACCACUGUAUGGUUUCCCCAUCAGAUUUGUGACCCAAUUCCCUGGUCAACUGAAAGAUCCUAGCUGCACAUAAGGCAGGCAUCCUUAUCCUUCUACCUCUUCCUUCAACUUUGAUAUGCCUGUCCUUGUUAGAACUCCUCUUUGGGGCCAACUGUUGUUUCUUCCCUUCUUCUUUAUCUGCAACAACAACAUCCUUCGUUUCAGCUGCUUUGCUCUCACCCAUGUUUUGAGGCUCUUGUUGUGGUUGUGUUGGCAGGCUCAAGAAGUUGGGUAAUUCCUUAGAACCCUUGGGAUCCAUUAACGAGUAGAAAGGGAGCCCUCGUUGAUUGAAAUACAAGGUGAGCUGAAAAAAAAACAAAUCCUAAACUUUCAUAAGUUUUCACUGCUUUUGGCAAAGGAAUCCGAAGACGAAGUAUUAUUUAUUGAAAUCCCAAAGCACUCCCGAAAUGUCAAAAUUUUUAAACUUGAUUUCACUUUACAAGAUGUCAAUUUUUCUUCCCCUCUUUCUCGUAUAUGCUUUAGCCGGCUGGCUCUUUCUUGCUUAUUUCUUACCCUUCUUUUUCACUGUCGUAAAGGGUGGGGGUUUGACUGCUAGCUUUUCUUAUAUCAUUGUAAUUUUACGGUUAAAGUAAUUAGAAGGUCCUAUAAGAUAGGGAGUGGAUGAAAUUAUUCCCUUUAUAGUUAAAUAAGUUAAUAUUUAUAAAACUAUUUUAAAUUUUAUCUUUUUAAUUAUAAUUUAAUUCCAAAUAAGAAUUUAUUUAAAAAAUAAAAAAAUUAACACCUUAAACAAUAAAUUAUGCUUUUAAAGACAAUAAAUAUUUACUUUUUUUAUAAAAAAAAUAAUUACACACAUAAACUAUAGUAUCCAAGGAAUAUUUUGAAAAAUCUGUAGGUCAAUACGAAAUUGCUUUAUCAAACCUGCAAGGGUUCUCUAUUUCAACUUAGUAUUAUUAAAUUUUUUAAAGUCACUUAAUUAUUAAAAACUUUCAUUUUAAACGAUUAAAAUAAAAAUUUACAAUUAAACACUCAUGUUACAUAAUUUAAUUAUUUUAAUUAUUUCAAUUAAAAUAAUAAUUAAAAAUCAAUACAAUAAUAAAUUUAGCUCUCAACUUUUACAAUUUAAUCAUAAUAUUAAAAAAAUUAUCUUCAAAAUUUAGAGAUAAUCUUAAUUUGAAAUAUAUAAAAAUACAUAAAUAUAUUUUAAAAUAUAAUAAUAAAUUUAAAAAAUGUAUAAAAAUGUCAAGAAACGCCGUCCCCACGGGUUGUAAAAGCAUUCUCAUGAAAAGAUUCUCGUCCGUCGUCGAAGCGAUGGAUUGCCGUUUGAAUGUUCUAUCGGUGACGUUUUCGGUUAACGAUCUUUCGAUUCUGAAGACGGUGACGGUUUCCGUUACAGGGAUGAAUUUUAUUUCAUAAGAUAACUACGCCGAAACGGGCUGCUCCGCCGCCUCUUAUAGCCCAAAAAGAUCUUCGCCCAUGCUUUCCGGUCAAGGAUUUUUCCGUUAACGUCGACUAAUUUAGCAUCUACGACAUGAUCAACCAACAAACCGUCCAGCACCGCUUAAAUGACCACCGACGCCGACAGUAGGACAAACCCCCGCCCGAAACUCAUGAACUUUACUGUUUUUCCAAAUGUUAUAAAAAAGUUCACCGAGUGUAGCACCGGCGUCGACCCAAGCUGUUUCAUCGGUCAUAUUAACAGAAACAGACUGGAGAUUUAAACAUAUCGAGAACAAAAAAGGGUUUAUCAAAAACAUAAGAUAACCCUUCGUGAUCAUGGCCGCCGCUACGAAUUUUGAGUUGAAACCCAAGCUUUUAGGAACAAAUAACGGCGGCGGAAACAUGGGGUUCAUCUAAAGGAGUGAUGAUGAUGACUGGUUUAGGGGUUGAAGAAGUGUUGAAACGGGCAUUUCGAGUGUAAGCACGUAAAACUGAAGUAUAUGGAGGGUUGGAUUUAGAGAUGAUAAUGAAGGAAGCUAUGUCGGAGGGAAUGGAUUGGGUUAAACAUUGAAGAAGGUAUUGAUGAGUAGGAUCUGAAACUGCCAUUGAAUGAUAAUGGUUGAAGAAAAUCACAAAAAAUGUCAAGAAAUAAAAUACUUUUUUAAAAAUAUUUGUUAUUAUAUUUUCAAAAUUUUUUAUAUAUAUUUUUAAAAUAUAUUUAUAUAUUUCUUUAAUUUUUUAAAAUUAGUAUCAAUUUGAGAUGAUUUAUACAUUUUGAGGAUUAUUUUUUUCUUAAAAUUAUAACUAAAAUGAUAUAAUAUGUAAAAGUUGAAUGUUAAAUUUUUUAUUAUACCGAUUUUUUAACUGACACGUCUAGUUUUUUGUGAUUUUAACGAGAGUAAUUAAAAUGAUCAAGCUAUAUAACGUGAGUGCUUAAAUUACAAAUCUUUUAUUUUGAAGUGAAUUUUUGAAAAAUACCAAUUUUUUAAAAAAUUACUAGAUUAGGUUGUUUUUCAAAAAAAAUUAAGGGACUAAGCCUAAAUAAUGAAAACGCUGUAGAAAGCAUUGUACACUCACCGACUGAAAGAUGGAAUGUGUGCAUCUUGAGUCUCCACCUUUUCACCAAUUUGCUUACAAGUGUGGGAUCCAAUUUACAUCCCCUACCCAUAGAGACCAUGUUAAAAAAUCUCGCAUCUCUCAAGUAUGAUUCGAUUACAAAUGUACGUCUCAAAAAUCUAAUCUUUAGACUACAUAUAAAAAAAUAAAAAAAAAUACUAAAUUACAGUAUAACAAUAAAUUAUUUAAAUUAAAUUAGAUUAAAUAUAAUAAUAAAAAUUAUUAUCAUUUGCAAUUGAUCGAUCAAAAUGUACUUUCCAUUCAAACGGAUUAAAGAUUUUGUUAUUAUUAAUUUUGAAAAACAUGAAAUAAAUUGUAAUAGAAAAAUAAUUUAAGAAAAUCUUAAUACAAUCUUAAUAUAUAAAAAAAAGUUGAGAGAAAUAAAAAUUAAGUGAGAAAUUAAGAGAAAAUUGAGAGAAAUUCGACUGAUAUUUGAGAAUGUGAGAGAGAUAUGUGAGAUUGAAUUGAAAAAAGAAAUGAAAUGUGGGGCUUAUAUAGAAAAAAAAAAUAGUCGUUAAGGGGUUAACUGUUGGGUUUUAAUGACUAUUUAAAUAGAUUGGGUGGGGUAGUCGGUUGACGAAAACACUUCCAAAUGAAAGCGUUUUUGUUAUUUCCACUUAAUCCCAUAUUUUUUGAAAAAAAUAGCCUAAUUUAGUAAUUUAAAAAAAUGAUAUUUUUGAGUUUGAUUUCUUAAAUUAUUUUUUUAAUAAUUAAAUAAUUAUCUAUAUAAUUUACCUUUUUUAAAUAACACAAUAACUUAAAUUGAUAUAUUUAAUAGUAGAAAUAAAAAAACCUCUGAAGUACAUUUACCUUAAUUUUACCCUACAAUUUUACUUUUAAAAAAAUCUCAAAGAAGUGUUAAAUAUUCUUUAAUUCUCUAUAUAUUUAGCAUAUUUAAAAUUUGGUUUUUUUUACUUUUAUUUUAAAAAAUUUAAUUAUUUUAUUUUUUAAAUUUAAAAUUUUAGUUCAAAGUCAUUACCGUUAUUAAAUUUCUUUUAUUAAAUGUAUUGAUGUGAUAUUUAAAAAAAAAUAAAAUCACUUGGUAAUAAUGUAAAAUAGAGAGAGAAAUUACAUUGAAAAUACAGAUGUAUUUUUUUUCUUAGAAACACCUAUUUAAACUCGUUAUGAUAAAAUUCUUUUUUUGGUUGGAAUGGCAUUAUGGUAUUCUUAAAAAAAUGACGUUGGCAUUGUAAUUGAAAUAAUCUAAUGAUAUUAUAAAAGUCUAAGGACCAAUUUAUGUAAAAAAUUAAAGUAUAUGAAUUCAAUCCAAGUUUUAGCAUAGUAUAGGGAUCAAAUUUGAAAUUUGACAUUAUCUUAUAAGUAAAAAGAAAAAAAAAGGCAAGACAAAACCAAAAGAUGUGUUCGUCUCUAAAGCGAGCAUUCAAAUUAUAUAUAAUUACGUAAAAUUUCAAUUGAAAAAUUAACAAUAUUAACUCUUUAGACUAACUAAUAACAUUAUAAAAACUUAAGGACCAAAUUAUGUUAAAAAUUAAAAUAUAAAGAUUAAAUCUCAAAUCCAAGCAUAAUAAAGAGACUAAAAUGGAAAUUUAACAUUUUCUUAUAAUGCAAAGAAAAAAGAAGAAGAA